rnacentral:rRNA from 1 species
GAAUAUUGCGCAAUGGGGGCAACCCUGACGCAGCAAUACCGCGUGAGUGAAGAAGGUUUUCGGCUCGUAAAGCUCUGUUAUUGGGGAAGAAGAAUGACGGUACCCAAUGAGGAAGUCCCGGCUAACUACGUGCCAGCAGCCGCGGUAAUACGUAGGGGACAAGCGUUGUCCGGAAUGACUGGGCGUAAAGGGCGCGUAGGCGGUCUAUUAAGUCUGAUGUGAAAGGUACCGGCUCAACCGGUGAAGUGCAUUGGAAACUGGUAGACUUGAGUAUUGGAGAGGCAAGUGGAAUUCCUAGUGUAGCGGUGAAAUGCGUAGAUAUUAGGAGGAACACCAGUGGCGAAGGCGGCUUGCUGGACAAAUACUGACGCUGAGGUGCGAAAGCGUGGGGAGCG